GCUCAGGAUGAACGCUAGCUACAGGCUUAACACAUGCAAGUCGAGGGGCAGCAUGGUCUUAGCUUGCUAAGGCCGAUGGCGACCGGCGCACGGGUGAGUAACACGUAUCCAACCUGCCGUCUACUCUUGGACAGCCUUCUGAAAGGAAGAUUAAUACAAGAUGGCAUCAUGAGUCCGCAUGUUCACAUGAUUAAAGGUAUUCCGGUAGACGAUGGGGAUGCGUUCCAUUAGAUAGUAGGCGGGGUAACGGCCCACCUAGUCUUCGAUGGAUAGGGGUUCUGAGAGGAAGGUCCCCCACAUUGGAACUGAGACACGGUCCAAACUCCUACGGGAGGCAGCAGUGAGGAAUAUUGGUCAAUGGGCGAGAGCCUGAACCAGCCAAGUAGCGUGAAGGAUGACUGCCCUAUGGGUUGUAAACUUCUUUUAUAAAGGAAUAAAGUCGGGUAUGGAUACCCGUUUGCAUGUACUUUAUGAAUAAGGAUCGGCUAACUCCGUGCCAGCAGCCGCGGUAAUACGGAGGAUCCGAGCGUUAUCCGGAUUUAUUGGGUUUAAAGGGAGCGUAGAUGGAUGUUUAAGUCAGUUGUGAAAGUUUGCGGCUCAACCGUAAAAUUGCAGUUGAUACUGGAUAUCUUGAGUGCAGUUGAGGCAGGCGGAAUUCGUGGUGUAGCGGUGAAAUGCUUAGAUAUCACGAAGAACUCCGAUUGCGAAGGCAGCCUGCUAAGCUGCAACUGACAUUGAGGCUCGAAAGUGUGGGUAUCAAACAGGAUUAGAUACCCUGGUAGUCCACACGGUAAACGAUGAAUACUCGCUGUUUGCGAUAUACUGCAAGCGGCCAAGCGAAAGCGUUAAGUAUUCCACCUGGGGAGUACGCCGGCAACGGUGAAACUCAAAGGAAUUGACGGGGGCCCG
rnacentral:rRNA from 1 species